GACGAAGGAUGCAAGCGUUAUCCGGAUUCAUUGGGUUUAAAGGGUGCGUAGGCGGACUGAUAAGUCAGUGGUGAAAUCUCUCAGCUUAACUGAGAAACUGCCAUUGAUACUGUUAGUCUAGAGUAUAGAUGACGUUGGCGGAAUAUGACAUGUAGUGGUGAAAUACUUAGAUAUGUCAUAGAACACCGAUUGCGAAGGCAGCUAACGAAACUAUAACUGACGCUGAGGCACGAAAGUGCGGGGAUCAAAC
rnacentral:rRNA from 1 species